rnacentral:rRNA from 1 species
GAUGAACGCUGGCGGUAUGCUUAACACAUGCAAGUCGUACGAAGACCUUUGGUCUUAGUGGCGGACGGGUGAGUAACACGUGAGAAUCUGCCCUUAGGAAGAGGAUAACAGCUGGAAACGGUUGCUAAUACCCCAUAUGCUUUUGAGUGAAAUGGAUUUUAUCCGCCUAGAGAGAAGCUCGCGGCUGAUUAGCUUGUUGGUAAGGUAAGAGCUUACCAAGGCGACGAUCAGUAUCUGGUUUGAGAGGACGAUCAGACACACUGGAACUGAGACACGGUCCAGACUCCUACGGGAGGCAGCAGUGGGGAAUUUUCCGCAAUGGGCGAAAGCCUGACGGAGCAAUACCGCGUGAGGGAAGAAUGCCUAUGGGUUGUAAACCUCUUUUUCUAGGGAGGGAAAUAAAAAUAGAACGUGUACCUGAAGAAUAAGCAUCGGCUAACUCCGUG